UACGGGAGGCAGCAGUGGGGAAUAUUGCACAAUGGGCGCAAGCCUGAUGCAGCCAUGCCGCGUGUAUGAAGAAGGCCUUCGGGUUGUAAAGUACUUUCAGUCGUGAGGAAGGUGUUAAGGUUAAUAACCUUAGCAAUUGACGUUAGCGACAGAAGAAGCACCGGCUAACUCCGUGCCAGCAGCCGCGGUAAUACGGAGGGUGCGAGCGUUAAUCGGAAUUACUGGGCGUAAAAGGGCACGCAGGCGGUUAAUUAAGUUGGAUGUGAAAUCCCCGGGCUUAACCUGGGAAUGGCAUUCAAGACUGGUUAGCUAGAGUCUUGUAGAGGGGGUAGAAUUCCAUGUGUAGCGGUGAAAUGCGUAGAGAUGUGGAGGAAAUACCGGUGGCGAAAGGCGGCCCCUGGACAAAAGGACUGACGCUCAUGUGCGAAAAGCGUGGGGAGCAAAACAGGGAUUAGAUACC
rnacentral:rRNA from 1 species